GCCGCCUAAGACAACAGUGAGCUACAGGUUGACAACGUGCCCCCUCCCACUCAGAAAAGAGCCUUAUGUCUCAUUCUGUGCUUAAAAGAAGAAAAUGUCAUAAUUAUCUGAAGACAUGAGGCACCGCUGUCUACGGUCUGCUGCUGGGAAUCUGACUGGAGGUUCAAGAUGUUUGCACAAGAGGGCGUGUUUUUCCCAUACAGUUUUUAACUUUCAGUUGACAGUAAACAGACAAGCAUUUUCAGC